rnacentral:sRNA from 1 species
AAAGAACAAGAAGAAGAAG